AAUGGACGAAAGUCUGACGCAGCAACGCCGCGUGAGUGAUGAAGGUCUUUGGAUCGUAAAGCUCUUUCGGGAGGGAAGAAAUGGUCAUGUGCUAAUACCACAUGGCCUUGACGGUACCUUCAGAAGAAGCACCGGCUAACUCUGUGCCAGCAGCCGCGGUAAUACAGAGGGUGCAAGCGUUGUUCGGAAUCAUUGGGCGUAAAGCGAGUGUAGGCGGUCGAAAAGGUCGGGUGUGAAAUCCCAGGGCUUAACCCUGGAACUGCAUUCGAAACCGUUCGACUUGAGUACGGGAGAGGGUCGUGGAAUUGUCGGUGUAGAGGUGAAAUUCGUAGAUAUCGGCAAGAACAUCAGUGGCGAAGGCGACGACCUGGUCCGAUACUGACGCUCAGACUCGAAAGCGUGGGGAGCAAA
rnacentral:rRNA from 1 species